GACGAACGCUGGCGGCGUGCUUAACACAUGCAAGUCGAACGGAAAGGCCCUGCUUGCAGGGUACUCGAGUGGCGAACGGGUGAGUAACGCGUGGGUGAUCUGCCCUGCACUUCGGGAUAAGCUUGGGAAACUGGGUCUAAUACCGGAUAGGAGCCAUCUUUAGUGUGGUGGUUGGAAAGUUUUUUCGGUGUAGGAUGAGCUCGCGGCCUAUCAGCUUGUUGGUGGGGUAAUGGCCUACCAAGGCGGCGACGGGUAGCCGGCCUGAGAGGGUGUACGGCCACAUUGGGACUGAGAUACGGCCCAGACUCCUACGGGAGGCAGCAGUGGGGAAUAUUGCACAAUGGGCGCAAGCCUGAUGCAGCGACGCCGCGUGGGGGAUGAAGGCCUUCGGGUUGUAAACUCCUUUCGCUAGGGACGAAGCUUUUUGUGACGGUACCUAGAUAAGAAGCACCGGCUAACUACGUG
rnacentral:rRNA from 1 species